AAGUCGUAACAAGGUUUCCGUAGGUGAACCUGCUGAAGGAUCAUCAUUGAAUAAACUUGAACAGGCUGUUGCUGACUCCCUCAGGGGGGUACGUGCACGCUUGUCAUCUUUAUUUCUCCACUUGUGCACAUAUUGUAGGCCUGGAAUUAAAUUUGAUCAUUGUUCGAGUUGGUGCUGCUGUGCUUUCUUAAACAGAAGUCAGCUUUACCUUGCAUUUCUAGGCCUAUGUCAUUUUCACAAUCUCUGAAUGUGUUUAGAAUGUUGAAGGGUCCUUUUGUACCCAUAAAUUUAUAUAAACAACUUUCAGCAACGGAUCUCUUGGCUCUCGCAUCGAUGAAGAACGCAGCGAAAUGCGAUAAGUAAUGUGAAUUGCAGAAUUCAGUGAAUCAUCGAAUCUUUGAACGCAUCUUGCGCUCCUUGGUAUUCCGAGGAGCAUGCCUGUUUGAGUGUCAUUAAGUUCUCAACCACAGCAAUUCUUUUGGUGUGGCUUGGAUUGUGGGGGUUUUAUUUGCAGGCUUUUGGAAUAUUAAGUCUGCUCCCCUGAAAUAUAUUAGUGGUAUCUGAGCAGAGAAAAGCUACUACAGGUGUUGAUAAUUGUCUAUGCCUUGUAAGCACAACUGCGUGAACAGAUUGCACUGCUUCUAAUAAAAUGAGAGAAAUCUCUUUGAAAAUUUGACCUCAAAUCAGGUAGGACUACCCGCUGAACUUAAGCAUAUCAAUAAGCGGAGGA
rnacentral:rRNA from 1 species